rfam:Tepidanaerobacter acetatoxydans Re1 complete genome
CGCGGGGUGGAGCAGUCUGGUAGCUCGUCGGGCUCAUAACCCGGAGGUCGUCGGUUCAAAUCCGGCCCCCGCAA